rnacentral:lncRNA from 1 species
CACUUGCAGUUCAGUGAGUGGAUCUGGAACCCAGGUUGGCCCAACUCCAUGCCCAGAUCCCCUCCUCAUGGUGUCCCUCUGUGGCUCUCCCUUGCCCUCUCUCCGGGCACCCAGACUCUGCUCUCUGCCUUCAAAUCACAGCUGGGACCCUCCCCUCACACUUCUGUGACCUAGGGGUGCUUUGCCAAGCAGCGAGCAGAAGUCAUCCUGCCUCCAGAUCACCAGGCUACGACACCAAGUGGGAGAGGAGUGGGGGCUCCCCGCCUCUGAAUGCAGGCAGGCUAUGCGCUCCCGACAGCCGGCUAGAGUGCGCGCGUGGUGUGCGGCUCCUGUCUGAACCCUGUCUCUACCUCCCUGUUGUAGCUGGUUCCCUAGGCAACAGACCCCCAGGCAACCACUGAACGCUGCACUUUUUGAGGUCUGCCAUCCAAGGGGGUGAGGCACAGGAACAGGAGGGAGCAGGGAAGCUGGGGUGUUAACUAUGCGGGCCCUUCUUCCCAGCAAGCCAAGGAGACUCGCCUGCAGGCAGCGCUGAGCAGGGUAGCUUUGGACAGGGCAGAAAUC